rnacentral:rRNA from 1 species
GACGAACGCUGGCGGCGUGCUUAACACAUGCAAGUCGAACGGAAAGGCCCCUUUGGGGGUACUCGAGUGGCGAACGGGUGAGUAACACGUGAGUAACCUGCCCUUGACUUCGGGAUAACUUCAGGAAACUGGGGCUAAUACCGGAUAGGAAUCCUUGCUGAAUGGUGGGGGUUGGAAAGCUUCGGCGGUUUUGGAUGGACUCGCGGCUUAUCAGCUUGUUGGUGGGGUAGUGGCUUACCAAGGCUUUGACGGGUAGCCGGCCUGAGAGGGCGACCGGCCACAUUGGGACUGAGAUACGGCCCAGACUCCUACGGGAGGCAGGAGUGGGGAAUAUUGCACAAUGGGCGGAAGCCUGAUGCAGCAACGCCGCGUGCGGGAUGACGGCCUUCGGGUUGUAAACCGCUUUCAGCAGGGGCGAAGCUUGUGGUGACGGUACCUGCAGAAGAAGCACCGGCUAACUACG